AAUACCGCAUAAGCGCACAGGGCCGCAUGGCCCGGUGUGAAAAACUCCGGUGGUGUAAGAUGGACCCGCGUCUGAUUAGCUUGUUGGCGGGGUAGGGGCCCACCAAGGCGACGAUCAGUAGCCGGCCUGAGAGGGUGGACGGCCACAUUGGGACUGAGACACGGCCCAAACUCCUACGGGAGGCAGCAGUGGGGGAUAUUGGACAAUGGGGGAAACCCUGAUCCAGCGACGCCGCGUGAGUGAAGAAGUAUUUCGGUAUGUAAAGCUCUGUCAGCAGGGAAGAAAGAAAUGACGGUACCUGACCAAGAAGCCCCGGCUAACUACGUGCCAGCAGCCGCGGUAAUACGUAGGGGGCAAGCGUUAUCCGGAAUUACUGGGUGUAAAGGGAGCGUAGACGGUGAUGCAAGUCUGGAGUGAAAGGCGGGGGCCCAACCCCCGGACUGCUCUGGAAACUGUGUAACUUGAGUGCAGGAGAGGUGAGCGGAAUUCCUAGUGUAGCGGUGAAAUGCGUAGAUAUUAGGAGGAACACCAGUGGCGAAGGCGGCUUACUGGACUGUAACUGACGUUGAGGCUCGAAAGCGUGGGGAGCAAACAGGAUUAGAUACCCUGGUAGUCCACGCCGUAAACGAUGAUUACUAGGUGUCGGUGGGUAUGGACCCACCGGUGCCGCAGC
rnacentral:rRNA from 1 species